AACGAACGCUGGCGGCAUGCCUAAUGCAUGCAAGUCGAACGAGACCUUCGGGUCUAGUGGCGCACGGGUGCGUAACGCGUGGGAACCUGCCCUUAGGUUCGGCAUAACUCCCCGACAGGGGUGCUAAUACCGGAUAAUGUCUUCGGACCAAAGAUUUAUCGCCUUUGGAUGGGCCCGCGUUGGAUUAGCUAGUUGGUAGGGUUAAAGCCUACCAAGGCGACGAUCCAUAGCUGGUUUGAGAGGAUGAUCAGCCACACUGGGACUGAGACACGGCCCAGACUCCUACGGGAGGCAGCAGUGGGGGAUAUUGGACAGUGGGCGAAGGCAUGAUCCAGCAAUGCCGCGUGAGUGAUGAAGGCCUUAGGGUUGUAAAGCUCUUUUACCCGGGAUGAUAAUGACAGUACCGGGAGAAUAAGCUCCGGCUAACUCCGUG
rnacentral:rRNA from 1 species